UAUAAGAUCAGAAAUCAUAAAUAAGCCAUGAAAAUGGUUAAGAAGUGCAAAGACACUCUCCCAUAAUUAGCAAACUCCCCAAAUGUCCACCACAUAGGACAGUAUGUGCUUCUGCAACCACUAGCACUACAGCACAGAGGAGAAAGACCUGGCUCAAUAUAACUAAGUCUAGCAGGAUCCGAGAACCAUACAGAAUUUACUUAAAAUCAAUAUUCCUUGAUUGUGGUGUAAAUUGAUAACAUAACAAUUCUCAAAGAUUUUAUUUCCUAAAUCAUAAUCCAGGAUCCCAUGAAGGAUCCUCUCCAAAAGUAUGUGAAAUGGUGAUUUUCACAUUACAGAUUGGUUUCCGAGCAUAACUUGAAUUCUUUAUAUUUCUUAUUUUUACUAGAUUCAUAUACUUGUAAGUCUGUUUGAAAGAGGUCACAAAAAAAUCUUUACAGCCAUUGGCAAGACCAUGCCAGUAUUUCUUAAACGCCAUAAGGUUUCCAGAUUUCUGAAAAGGCAUUCCAAAUGUGUCUUCUAAGAAGGCAUAUGUCGGGUUCAGGUCAAACUUUUGCAAAUCUGAUAAAGCUUUAAAGGAAAUAAAG